GAUGAACGCUGGCGGCGUGCCUAAUACAUGCAAGUCGAGCGAACGGACGAGAAGCUUGCUUCUCUGAUGUUAGCGGCGGACGGGUGAGUAACACGUGGAUAACCUACCUAUAAGACUGGGAUAACUUCGGGAAACCGGAGCUAAUACCGGAUAAUAUUUUGAACCGCAUGGUUCAAUAGUGAAAGACGGUCUUGCUGUCUCUUAUAGAUGGAUCCGCGCUGCAUUAGCUAGUUGGUAAGGUAACGGCUUACCAAGGCAACGAUGCAUAGCCGACCUGAGAGGGUGAUCGGCCACACUGGAACUGAGACACGGUCCAGACUCCUACGGGAGGCAGCAGUAGGGAAUCUUCCGCAAUGGGCGAAAGCCUGACGGAGCAACGCCGCGUGAGUGAUGAAGGUCUUCGGAUCGUAAAACUCUGUUAUUAGGGAAGAACAUAUGUGUAAGUAACUGUGCACAUCUUGACGGUACCUAAUCAGAAAGCCACGGCUAACUACGUG
rnacentral:rRNA from 1 species